UAUAAAUGGUAUACAGUAAAACUGCGAAUGGCUCAUUAAAACAGUUAUAGUUUAUUUGGUAAUCGAAUUUACAUGGAUAACCGUGGUAAUUCUAGAGCUAAUACAUGCUGUAAAGCCCGACUUCUCGGAAGGGCCGUAUUUAUUAGAUAACAGACCAGCAGCUUCGGCUAUUGUGGUGAAUCAUAGUAACUAAUCGGAUCGCAUGGGCUAGUCCCGCGACAAACCAUUCAAGUUUCUGCCCCAUCAGCUUUCGACGGUAGUGUAUUGGACUACCGUGGCUUUUACGGGUAACGGAGGAUUAGGGUUCGAUUCCGGAGAGGGAGCCUGAGAACCGGCUACCACAUCUAAGGAAGGCAGCAGGCGCGUAAAUUACCCAAUUCUGAUUCAGAGAGGUAGUGACAAGAAAUAACGGGUCGGGAUUUUUUCCCGGGACUGCAAUGAGAUGAACUUAUACCCCUUUUCGAGUAACAAUUGGAGGGCAAGUCUGGUGCCAGCAGCCGCGGUAAUUCCAGCUCCAAUAGCGUAUAUUAAAGUUGUUGCAGUUAAAAAGCUCGUAGUUGGAUUUCUGGCAGGAUGUCGAUGCCCUCAUGAGAGUGCGCAACGGUGUCCUGCCAUCCUUCUGUUAACCCUGUAGGCCUUAAAAAGUUUACUGGGGGCUCAGAUAUUUUACCUUGAGAAAUUAGAGUGUUCAGGCAGGCUAGCGCCGGAAUACAUUAGCAUGGAAUAAUAGAAUAGGACUUAAGCCUCUUCUGUUGGUCUGAGGGGUGUAAGUAAUGAUUAAU
rnacentral:rRNA from 1 species